rnacentral:rRNA from 1 species
UACGGGGGGAGCAAGCGUUGUUCGGAUUUACUGGGCGUAAAGGGCGGGUAGGCGGCCACCGCAAGUCAGUUGUGAAAUCUCCGGGCUUAACCCGGAAAGGUCAACUGAUACUGCGGGGCUAGAGUGCAGAAGGGGCAACUGGAAUUCUCGGUGUAGCGGUGAAAUGCGUAGAUAUCUGGAGGAACACCGGUGGCGAAGGCGGCGUCCUGGACCAAUACUGACACUGAAACGCGAAAGCCAGGGGAGCAAACGGG